GAAUUUAUCUGUCAAGGGGAAUACCAUGAUCAAAAAGAUGUUUUUUCCCAGGGUGAGGCUCUUCCACUGCACACUUUGGUUGGGCUGACCUCUGAUUUUCUCAAAUGUGUGAAACUCAAGGCAUAAUUUACGGUAGUGGAGGAAUGCAUUCAUGCACCUUCCU